rnacentral:rRNA from 1 species
AUGAACGCUGGCGGCGUGUCUAAGGCAUGCAAGUCGAAUGCCUGUAGCAAUACAGACAUGGCAAACGGGAGAGUAACACAUUGGCAAUCUACCUCUAAGACGAGGAUAACCUUGCGAAAGCGAGAAUAAUACUCGAUAGUAUUAAAGGGCUUAAGCCUUUUAAUUAAAGCUCCGGCGCUUAGAGAGGAGCCUAUGGCCUAUCAGCUAGUUGGUGAGGUAAUAGCUCACCAAGGCGACGACGGGUAUGGGGUGCGAGAGCAUGGCCCCACUCACUGGGACUGAGACACUGCCCAGACUCCUACGGGAGGCUGCAGUCAAGAAUCUUCCUCAAUGGGCGAAAGCCUGAAGGAGCGACGCCGCGUGUAUGAAGAAGCCCUUCGGGGUGUAAAAUACUUUUAUCAGGGACGAAAACAUGACGGUACCUGAUGAAUAAGGGGCUGCUAACCUCGU